rnacentral:lncRNA from 1 species
UUUAUUUUAAUAUACAUUUAAAAAAAAUAUCCUUCUUCUUCAAUGCCCUCACCCCCCUCAUGGCAACCCACACCCACACCCUACACUCUUUUCUUCUCCAAUUGAUCAAGAACAACAAUACUCAUUUUCUUUAAACCAUCAAUUCCUCCAUUAACAAUCUCAUCCAUUUUCUUCAACCAUUAAUUCCCCCAUUAACAACUUCA